rnacentral:rRNA from 1 species
CCUACGGGUGGCUGCAGUGGGGAAUAUUGGACAAUGGGGGGAACCCUGAUCCAGCCAUGCCGCGUGUGUGAAGAAGGCCCUCGGGUUGUAAAGCACUUUCAGUGAGGAAGAACGCCUGGUGGUUAAUACCCAUCAGGAAAGACAUCACUCACAGAAGAAGCACCGGCUAACUCCGUGCCAGCAGCCGCGGUAAUACGGAGGGUGCGAGCGUUAAUCGGAAUUACUGGGCGUAAAGCGCGUGUAGGUGGCUUGAUAAGCCGGUUGUGAAAGCCCCGGGCUCAACCUGGGAACGGCAUCCGGAACUGUCAAGCUAGAGUGCAGGAGAGGAAGGUAGAAUUCCCGGUGUAGCGGUGAAAUGCGUAGAGAUCGGGAGGAAUACCAGUGGCGAAGGCGGCCUUCUGGACUGACACUGACACUGAGGUGCGAAAGCGUGGGUAGCAAACAGGAUUAGAUACCCUUGUAGUC